rnacentral:tRNA from 1 species
GGAAGCGUGGGUGAGAGGCUUAAACCAGAAGUUUGCUAAAUUUCCGUAGCUUUACGGCUACCGUUGGUUCGAAUCCAACCGCUUCCGCCA